GUUUAGAACGUCGUGAGACAGUUCGGUCCCUAUCUGCCGUGGGCGCUGGAGAACUGAGGGGGGCUGCUCCUAGUACGAGAGGACCGGAGUGGACGCAUCACUGGUGUUCGGGUUGUCAUGCCAAUGGCACUGCCCGGUAGCUAAAUGCGGAAGAGAUAAGUGCUGAAAGCAUCUAAGCACGAAACUUGCCCCGAGAUGAGUUCUCCCUGAGACUUUAAGUCUCCUGAAGGAACGUUGAAGACGACGACGUUGAUAGGCCGGGUGUGUAAGCGCAGCGAUGCGUUGAGCUAACCGGUACUAAUGAACCGUGAGGCUUAACCUUACAACGCCGAAG
rnacentral:rRNA from 2 species